AUUGAACGCUGGCGGCAUGCCUUACACAUGCAAGUCGAACGGUAACGCGGGGCAACCUGGCGACGAGUGGCGAACGGGUGAGUAAAGCAUCGGAACGUGCCCAGUAGUGGGGGAUAGCCCGGCGAAAGCCGGAUUAAUACCGCAUACGACCUACGGGUGAAAGCGGGGGACCGUAAGGCCUCGCGCUAUUGGAGCGGCCGAUGUCAGAUUAGGUAGUUGGUGGGGUAAAGGCCUACCAAGCCGACGAUCUGUAGCUGGUCUGAGAGGACGACCAGCCACACUGGGACUGAGACACGGCCCAGACUCCUACGGGAGGCAGCAGUGGGGAAUUUUGGACAAUGGGGGCAACCCUGAUCCAGCCAUGCCGCGUGCGGGAAGAAGGCCUUCGGGUUGUAAACCGCUUUUGUCAGGGAAGAAACGCGCUGAGCUAAUACCUCGGCGUAAUGACGGUACCUGAAGAAUAAGCACCGGCUAACUACGUGCCAGCCGCCGCGGUAA
rnacentral:rRNA from 1 species